rnacentral:lncRNA from 1 species
UCUGAUACCAUUUCAGUUGCAGCGGGUCCAUACAACCAUGGGGGGUUUACAUCUUUUAGAUCAGUCCCUUGCAAAGUUCAUAUACAAAAGCACAUCCAACAACUCCCUUCCCUAUAUUCAGAAAACGAUGCACACCUACUAAACAUUUUUAGGUAAAAGUCGAACACUUUUAUUUACUUAAACCAGAUGGACAUCAUUCAUGGGUACAUCAAAAUGCCGUAGUCUUCUAUACUCGGCUAUAGUUCAAAAGAUGACAGACAUCUCCUCCAACAGUCGUAUACUUAAAGUCCAUCAAUUAGUGUCGGCGUCCAAAAGUUCCUUCCUUUGCUAUCCUUCUCUUCGCGUUCAUAUCCAACCACUUGAUCCAUAUACCGGUGGCAGUGGCAGCAGAUGUAUCUUAUCUAGUCUGAAAUGUUAGUCCCCAAAAGGGGUGAGUACAACCAAUCAGCAGUAAAGAUCCACCAAACUACACAAUGCAACAAGCAAGACAAUCAAGAUAUCACGAGUAAAGCACAUAUCAUCCAUGCAUUCGAGCAUACCUCAUCUUACAGCCAUGCAUAUAUCACCAUACAACAUGCAUAUGUCACCAUACACUUGUAUUUAUAUCAUCAAACAGCCAUGCAUAUAUCACCAUGCAACGUGCAUAUACCACCAUGGACUUCAUGCUUGCAUUCCCAUGAGGUUCAUCCCAUGCCAUAUGUACACAUACAUACUCAUGAUUCAUAUCAUCCACAUCUCAUCCAUUCAAGCCUUCAUGAUCGCAUUCUCAAUGUCAAAUAGUAUCAAUUUACUUUCAUAAGCAAAUCAUGCAUCAUGCCAUAUGCAUACACCCAUGCACAUGAUUCAAUUUCAAUAUUCAUCUUUCACUAGGAUCUCAUCAUUUUUCUUCUAGGGACCAAUGUUAGCAUCCCUCAAUUCAUCGCUCGCACCCAACCUAGCAUCGUGAGGAACCUCCGGCACACACCUUCGAGCAUCUCGCAUCCCACCUGGCAUCACGAAGAAUCUCCCCAUCACACACCUCCAGGGCUUCCGAGAUUACGUACCGACAUACCACCAGGCAUUCCCCCUGAAAUUACGUACCGUAUACCACCGGGCAUCUCGAAACUCCCGAGGACCCUCCGGAAUUAUGCCACUGGGCCACCGAGCAUCCGGCACCCCCACAUUCUAGGCAUCCUGACACUCUCGGGGCAUCGUCGGCUCACACCUCCAACGGUAUCCUCAUUUAUCAUAAUUCAUAUUCACAUUUGUGUCUCAAUAUCAACAUGGCACAUGAUGUGAUGGCAACAAGGUCAAUUUCAGCUUUUGAUUUGAUAUGUAAUGCCAAAUAUCAUCGCAUGUGCAGCAAAAUUCAAUCACUUAAAAACAACAUAAUUCAUGAGGCAAACUCCUGGAUUAUUGCUAUUAUUUUAGGAACGGAAUGCGUUCUUUUAAUUUACACUUCUUAAAGUUUAGUGAUUGACCCUAAUAAUUUCUAAGAAUUUAAUACCUCAUAGACAAGCUCUAGAGGCCUUUAUCUCAUGAAGAACAUAACACCACCAGAAUUUCAUACAAACAGAAUAGUCCAUGCAUUACAGCUUUUGAAAUUCGCACAAUCCAGCUUGUACAGUUUUAGAAAAUUUUUUAAUUAAAUACACAAAUGACCUUCAAAAAUUAUGAAAUUCGAACAUGUGAUAGUCAAGACAUAAAGGCAGCUAUUUCAUGAAUAACACUAUACCAAAAUAUCCCCAUAUAGUUCAAUAAAGACCACGCAUCACAGCACUACUAAUUCUGUCCGUUCCACUUGCACAGUUUUUGAAACAUUUUUGGUUAAAUAGGCAAAUGAACUUCACAAAUCACGAAAUUAUAAUAUGUUGUAGGAAAGACAUAAAAAAAGAUAUUUCAUGCAGAACACUUUUCCAAAAUAAUCUCAUACAAAACGGUAUAGACCAUGCAUUGCAACAUUACCAAGUCCGAACACAUCAGAUUACACAGUUUUAGAAACAUUUUCGAUUAAAUACACAAAUUACAUUCAAAAAUUAUGAAAUUUUACUAUGUGAUAGAAAAUACCAUAAGGUAAAUACCUCAUGAGCAUCGAAUUCAAAUUCGUUCUAGAUAAUUAAAUAUGGACGGUUAAAAUCCCUGUUCGUAGUACUGUAAUUCCAGAUCUAACCAUCUCCAAAGAACCACGAUUUUACCUACCUAUUCUUGUUUUUUUUUCUCUAAAUUUUUGAUAUGUUGUACCUCAGGAUGUCUUUUACAACUUUUGUUAAGAAACAAAAGUGAAAUUUCGACAAAAAGGUUGCCUUACAGUCCAUGCAUUCAUCAAGGGUCGGUACCAAAAUCUCCAGAUCUAGUCUUUCCAAAGAAUAACGAUUUCACCCACUUAUACUAGUUUUUUUUGUCCCAAAUUUGAAAAUGUUAUACUCCAAGAAGUCCUUUACAACUUUCAUGAAGAAAUCGAAACAAUAUUCCAACUAAAAAGUCGCAUGCAGCACACAAACUCAUGGAUAGUCGAACUGGUCUUUCCAGAAACAGCAUGCAUGGUCAACGAAUCUCUCUCCAUAGCUCCGAAAUUUCAUCCCAUCUACCACAACCAAGACUUACCAUCUACUACACAUACACACAGCAAUGCAAAGGGUAGGUUUUAGGACUUCACUUGCCUCAAAUCAAAAGAAAACACAGCAAGAACGACGGCGGGACUAGGCGGGCUCGACGGCGUCUCCUCUUCCUCUCUCUCUCUCUUCCUCUCUUUCUCUCUUUCUCUCUUCUUUCUUUGGAUGCCCCUCCCCCUCUCGAGCUCUCCAGCCCUUUUCUUUCCUCCCCUUCAAUGAUUUGAUUGCAU